AACACUGUUAACCUGCGGUACCUGCGGAAGGAUCAUUAACCUUUCAAAAAACAGGGUGCGUCGCGGCCCCCCUCCGGGGGCGGUUUGGGGUCCUCCCCUUCACGCGCGCACGACUGCAUCCUUACUUUACGAGCACCUUCUGUUCUCCCUCGGCGGGGCAACCUGCCGUUGGAACCGAAUAAACCCUUUUUUGCAUCCAGCAUUACCCGUUCCGAAACAAACAAUCGUUACAACUUUUAA
rnacentral:misc_RNA from 1 species